ACUGCAACUCAGAUCAGAUCCCGUGCAAGAACCCCACCCCCUUCAGCUCUGAUCAUUGCUGGAAAAAUCCACAAGUUGGAGAGCAAAUUUUCCAAACUUGGAAGCAAAAGACCAAUGCUACAAGGGAAAUUCUUGUUCUUUGGAGGUGGGGAUUCCCAUGUGGUGGAUAACAACAAAAAGAACACAUCAUCUUCAUCACCAAAGGGUGGAGAAGAACUCUUUUACCCAACACUGAAACUUGAAACAGAUAGACAAGUUUAUAGGCCUGGUGAUCCUGUUGUUGUCACCGUUCAGAUCUCCAAUCCCUCAAAUGGGUAUUCUCUUUUGGUGGAAAGACUCAGUUUUGAGAUCAAAGGCAUUGAGAAACUUGACACUCAGUGGUUUGCCACACAGAAGCCUUUGCCUGGUUCUAAACAAAGGAGAGGUGAACAUGUUUUUCUGGAGUUCUCAACACCAAUCCUAGUUGCAAAUCAGAUUGUUGAUGCUGGCACCAGCAAAUCAUGUAUGACGAGUUCUUCAUUUAAGGAUUCUGAUUUUUGGAUGGACCCUCUCUUUCUGUUGGUUCUUAUAUUUUCUCUUCUUCGUGAAUCAUGCAUGCUUGUGGAAUUUUGAAAUCCAAACUAAUUUCAUUAUUAUCUUUUAUAUUAGAGGGUGUACUUAGGUUAAAUGGAUAUUCCCCAUUAUAAUUUCUAGAGAUGGCCUGUAUGCUGGUUUUUUCCUCUUUGUUUUUUAUUAUAAUUAUAAUUAUAAUAUAAUUAGACUAAAACUUAAGAUUUUGUGAUAAAAUAUGUUUGUAAAUGUGUUCAAAAUUACACUCUUGUUCUUUUCUUCAACUGAGAAGUUGGUUUUAGUGGGUUAUUGGACAAAACAACAUCUGAUGCUAUUUUCCCACAAAACUUCCACUCCUCACUAUUUGCUUAUUGCAGCUAUAUCAGAUUCCAGAAACUUUCUUUAAGUUUUUUGUUUGCUGGAGUUAUGAUCUUUUGGUUUAGAGUUGCUGAUUCAGCUAUGGGUUAAAUGUUUGUAUUUGUUUUGGUUCACAAUUAUUGAUAAAAAUUAUGAUGUUUGAAUUUACCAAAAUGAAAUACUUGGUAGAUUUGUUGAAAUAAGCACUGAUGAGAUAUGCAUGGAAAUACAUGAAAAUAAUUUGGAUGUUUGAAACUAGCCAGAAUAUGUGCUUGGUGAUUACUAAUUUGUAUGUGCCAUGCUUUAGUAGUUGUCUUCUAUAUUUUGAUUUAUGAAGGUUGAUUAUGUGAAAUGUUAAUUGCAGAUGUGGUGCGAACACUGCUGCCUAGCAUUAUUCCACCAUCUUAUAAGGGUUCAAACAUUCGCUAUUUGUACUAUGUUAAAAGCACAUUAACUGGAGGGUGGCUAAUAUUUGAAAAUGGGCAAUCUCGCGCAGAGUCCAAAAAUGAUGUUCCUAAUUUGGAAGUUCGUAUUCCAUUACAAAUAUGGAUAAACCAGAAAAGCAGUGGCUUUCCAAUGGAUGAUGAUAUUGUUCCCUUAACUACUGUACAACUGGAUAUAUUUUGGAAAGAGAUGGAUGGAGAUGCUGAUUGGGUUAGGGCAAAUGAUAUUUAUGAUGGAGUUGAGGAGGGUGAUGACAGCUCAAGAGAUGAUAUCUCAUCUGUUUCUUCUUAUAAUCCCAUGAGAGAGAAUCUACAUAGAGGCUUUGGAAGUUCACUUUCACUAAGAUCUUCUUCUGCAAGAUCAUUGACCAGGGAUGCUUCUACUUUAGAAGGAUUCCGAACAAGUUUAUCUUCAAAUAUGGCACUUCCUCGGCUGUCAGUUGCUGAAGUAUUAUCUGAUUCUGGUGCUGAUGUCUUAUCGACCCAGAAGUCAUUUGCCAUUGUCUCCGCAACCCCAAGUGAGCAGCAGAAGCACCGAAAGACAUUUCCUGCAGAAGAAGAUGCAGGAGUAUCCUCUUCACCUAAUGCUGGGGCCGUAGAAUCUUUAUCAUAAGGCUUUAUUAGAGGAAGAUCUUAUAACAUCAGACUUGAUGAUCAAGUUUUGCUUAAAUUUUCCCCUAAAAAUUCUGACUCAACUUAUUACUUCAGUGAUGUGAUAGGUGGCACUCUUACUUUCUUUCAUGAAGAAGGAGCCAGGAGAUGCCUUGAGAUCUCCAUAACAUUGGAAACUUCAGAAACUAUAAAUCGACGAUUUGUCCACCCUUCUAGAAGGAAUUCUCCUACGAUCACAAAGGUUCAGAGUGAUCAUCAAGAGGUUGUUGCUGAUUUGGUGCAGACAAGCUUUCUUUUUUCUAUCCCAAUGGAUGGUCCAAUGUCUUUCUCCACUCAACAUGUAUCUGUGCAGUGGGUUCUUCGCUUUGAAUUUUUCACAACUCCAAAGCAUGUAGAUUGGAAAAGAUAUGAGCAUCCUCUUCUGAUUGAGGGAAGAGAAAAAACUGAAUGGGUUCUUCCAAUUACUGUACAUGCUCCCCCACCUAGAGCUCCUGCUUCGAGCACAAGAAACGAUAGACUUUUCUCUUUGGAUCCUUUGUGGGUACACAAUUGAAGUUCAAUUAAACUGAAGCUGAAAUGUGUGCAACCACAACCAUCUAAAGCCUUUUAGUAUACCUCAAGCUUCAAUUCCCUAAUGUACAAAAUAUUCACGAAAUAGAAGCCAGUGAAAUGUCAGAAUGAUCUUUUGUAGCAUGCCAGAAUUUGGACCAUUGUCGUGAUUGGUUAACUAAAAAAUUUGGUUGAGGUCUUUGAGUACAGUAUUUCUUCCUGUUUCUUGCUGUUUUUAUUUGCCUUUGGUGCUGGGAUAAUUCAUGUCCCAUAGUUCAUCCUGUUAAUUGAUUUUGUUUUAUUUUUUGUAACUCAAGGUUUUUACAGUAGUUGUAUGGAUCGUUGUUUCAGUUAUUAAAUCAUUAAUUAGAGAUAGAGGUGUAUAAGUUGGUGUCUUGGACAUCAUGGACCAACAAUGUUAACAUUGCUGUUGUACACUGUCUUUGCUUUCUUUUGCAAAAUUUGCAUUCUUUUAUGAUGUUAAUGUAAUCAGUACUAAACAACAAAAAAUUGCUGUAUAUUUUGAUACUGGUCUUGUUGAAUUAAUAACAAAUUAUUAAAAUUG